rnacentral:misc_RNA from 1 species
GGUAAAGCAAAAAACCCUGAUGCAAGUUAAAGAAUAAAAGGAUAGAAUAUAAAAAGAAGCCACAAAAGAAAAGGAGAAGAGAAAAAGUAACAUUUCCUUGUAAACCAAUACCCCUUUCUUUCUUUCUCUCUCCCUUAUACAUUCCUUGCCACUUUGUCUAUCUGUCUGUUACUGUGAAACUUCGUUAUCUGAGUAGUUUUCUUUUUAC